GGGCCCGUAGUCUAGCGGUUAGGAUGCCCGCCUCACGCGCGGGUGAUCCCGGGUUCAAAUCCCGGCGGGCCCA
rnacentral:tRNA from 1 species